AAACCUCGCGGGAAGUGCGCGUCACGCAAGGCGGGGCCAACGCAAAGCGCGCCGGGAGCUGUAGUCCUCCUGCCUGGGAGAGAGCGCUGGCGGCGCCGGGCGCGCCGGGAACUGUAGUUCUCGUGGGCGGGGUCUGCGAGGCGCGGGGAUGGCGGCCGUUAACCCCUCAGGUGCCAGACGGCUAGGCCGCGGUCCGAGGCGGGUCACGUGAGGAAGUGGUGUCCCAACAGCUCGGUGACCGGGCACUCGGGGGCUCUCACCUCAUGUGGCGGCGGACCUGGGAGGAGCACAAACACCCAGCACGUCUCCUGUGUAUCCCUGGACGUGAGACUGGUGCCCAUUAGUAUAUUUUACAGCGUGAGGCUGUAGGAGGUGAGGGGAGUGAGAAGAACAGGCACAGAAAUAGGGACAGAGUACCUAGGCACCUGUGAGGCGCACUGCGACUGAACCCGGGAGACCCAGAGAUGCGCCUGACGGAGGGUUAACGGCAAUCAUAAAAUAUGAGGAAAGCCAGAGAGCAGAGCAUUUUGGGUGUCCAGAGGGUAUAAGGGUCUGCAGCCUGACACAGUGAAACAGGUAGGAUCGUGAAUAAAGUAGUAUCAACCAAUCAGAUAACACUGCUGUCAUCAUCGCCACAUAUCUGUAGGCUUAAUUCAGACCUGAUCGCUCCUCUGCGAAUUUGCAGAGGUUUGCGAUCGGAUAGUCACCGCCCAGACAUGGUGAAAUAUCGCGCUGUGCGAAAAGCUGUGCAAGCUGCAAAUCCGUUUGCAAUCUCACUCGCCAUCGAAUAUUUUUUCCAGUCUGUGCGUAGCCCAGGACUUACUCCUACAGGGCGACAGAAACAGUCUGAUUAGGCCGGAGCUGACGUCACACACCCGCCCUGAAAACGCUCGGGAACACCUGUGGGUUUUUUUCAGGCACUUCCAGAAAACGGCCAGUUACCACCCACAAACGUCCGCUUCCUGUCAAUCAGCCUGCGUUCGCCUAGCGAUCAAAAAAGACACAGGAUUUUUUCGCAGUUUGGCCUCGCGCAUUACGACCCAUACGCAUGCGCAUUCCAUAAUUGGCCGCUGUGCGAUUUCGCACAAUAGCGAUCAGAUCUGAAUUAGUACCUUUGUACCAGGCAUCUGGUACCCACAGAGGAUAAGCCUCCUAAGAAGGGUAUAUAGGGCUGUCUGAUUCCGUCAUAUCUCCACGGGGCAUGCAUAAGACUAAAUACCACCACAUUUUGGUAUACAUGCGCAGUAUGGAAAGAUGUAUGGAUCUUACUCAACAAAUGGACCUUGUGUCCAACUGUGAGGCCCAGCAUCAUAAAAAUCCCUAUAUCCGCCAUAAUGGCGUGAGACUUGAUGGCCACCACAAGUGCGCAGGCUGCUCCUUUCCACACUAUAGUGGUCAUUCCGAGUUGAUCGUAGCGGUGCUAAAUUUAGCACAGCUACGAUCAUAAA